UGGGGGAUAACGUUCGGAAACGGACGCUAAUACCGCAUACGUCCUACGGGAGAAAGCAGGGGACCUUCGGGCCUUGCGCUAUCAGAUGAGCCUAGGUCGGAUUAGCUAGUUGGUGGGGUAAUGGCUCACCAAGGCGACGAUCCGUAACUGGUCUGAGAGGAUGAUCAGUCACACUGGAACUGAGACACGGUCCAGACUCCUACGGGAGGCAGCAGUGGGGAAUAUUGGACAAUGGGCGAAAGCCUGAUCCAGCCAUGCCGCGUGUGUGAAGAAGGUCUUCGGAUUGUAAAGCACUUUAAGUUGGGAGGAAGGGCAAUUACCUAAUACGUGAUUGUUUUGACGUUACCGACAGAAUAAGCACCGGCUAACUCUGUGCCAGCAGCCGCGGUAAUACAGAGGGUGCAAGCGUUAAUCGGAAUUACUGGGCGUAAAGCGCGCGUAGGUGGUUUGUUAAGUUGGAUGUGAAAUCCCCGGGCUCAACCUGGGAACUGCAUUCAAAACUGACUGACUAGAGUAUGGUAGAGGGUGGUGGAAUUUCCUGUGUAGCGGUGAAAUGCGUA
rnacentral:rRNA from 1 species